rnacentral:rRNA from 1 species
AACGAACGCUGGCGGCAUGCCUAACACAUGCAAGUCGAACGAGACCUUCGGGUCUAGUGGCGCACGGGUGCGUAACGCGUGGGAACCUGCCCUUAGGUUCGGAAUAACUCCCCGAAAGGGGUGCUAAUACCGGAUAAUGUCUUCGGACCAAAGAUUUAUCGCCUUUGGAUGGGCCCGCGUUGGCUUAGCUAGUUGGUAGGGUAAAAGCCUACCAAGGCGACGAUCCAUAGCUGGUUUGAGAGGAUGAUCAGCCACACUGGGACUGAGACACGGCCCAGACUCCUACGGGAGGCAGCAGUGGGGAAUAUUGGACAAUGGGCGAAAGCCUGAUCCAGCAAUGCCGCGUGAGUGAUGAAGGCCUUAGGGUUGUAAAGCUCUUUUACCCGGGAUGAUAAUGACAGUACCGGGAGAAUAAGCUCCGGCUAACUCCGUG